GUGAAUCAUCAAAUUUUUGAACGCAAAUUGCACUCUCUUCGGAGAGUAAGCCUGUUCCAGGGUCAGCCUAAAAAAAACUGACAUAUUCGCUGUUUCGCGGUGACAUGCGUCGGAAAUGGGGUCAUCGUACACCUUUGCGUUUUUAGCGGCUUACACUUCUCUUUACGACUCGACGAAGGUUAU
rnacentral:misc_RNA from 1 species